rnacentral:tRNA from 1 species
GCGGGGAUAGCCCAGCCUGGUAAGGCGACAGAUUGCUAAUCUGUUGGUCUUCUGACCUCGGGAGUUCAAAUGGUGCGGAGCGAAAACCAUUUUCAUCUUAGGCUCACGUCUUGAAAAUCUCCCUCCCCGCG